UCGUCGUCGUCGUCCUCCUCCGCCGCCAUCGCCGCCGCAGGAGGUGGCGGGGGGAGAGCGCCGCCCACGCAGGCGCGCGCAUAGGUGGGGAAGAGCA
rnacentral:sRNA from 1 species